CCAAUAAUGAGCUUCCUGGAAACAUCUAUAGUGGAAACUGAACCUUUAAUUUCAAGAUAUCGUAGUAAUAAAGAAAGGAAUGAAGAGCACACAAUGGAAUAUAGAAUAUCUGUACCAGAGAUACUUGUGGGGUGGUCUGUAUCUAUAUGUAUGUUAACGAGUUGGUCUUAUACAAUCCUCAGCAGAGAAUGUCAUUGGUCACAGCCAGUAUUCAAGUGUUUUUGAAGAAAACCUGGACUGUGGGAGUAUUUUCUGAAUUCAUACUACCUGGAAAGUGAGUUCCUCGAAGAUAGGAAGCUCAAGAAGGACAAAGAACUACUGGAAAGGGUCCAGCACAAGCCACAAGGAUGAUUAAGGGACUCAAGUAUCUCUUUUGUGAGGAGACACUGUGGGAGCUGAGCCUGUUUAGUCAAGAAAAGAGAAGAUUGAGAGGGGACCUCAUUAAUGCAUAUAAAUAUCUCAAAGGUCUAUAUUCUGAGUUGGAUUGAAAACUGACUGAACGGCCAGGCCCAGAGGGUGGUGGUCAGUGGCACAGAGUCUAACUGGAGCCAGUAACUAGCAGUGUACACCAGGGCAGGGGUCAAUUGUCGGAGGUGGACCAACAGAAGCCUACAGAGAAUGGAGAGAGAUGCAGAAAGGCUGCGAAGAAACCUCAGAGGAAGAAGUUUAAGUCCUCUGACAACUGCAGCUGCAAAGGGCUGCCUGAGACCCAGCCACAGAACGCAGCCUCACAAACCUCUGUGGAACUCCCCUGUUUGUACCCACAGACCCCUCCUUCCCUUCCUUCCCUAACUCCCAACUCUCCCUAGAUGGCUGGACAUAUCCCUUGCAGCCAAUCCCUCCAUUUUCCCUUAUCACUAAACCUUAGGAUUUGAUGUUCCUAGCAAGAAUCCCUCCUUUGUUCCAGACUCUUUCAUAUUCCCCUCUAUAUAAACUGACAUCUUGUUUUAAUAAACGCCAU